rnacentral:rRNA from 1 species
AUGUUAGCGGCGGACGGGUGAGUAACACGUGGGUAACCUGCCUGUAAGACUGGGAUAACUCCGGGAAACCGGGGCUAAUACCGGAUGGUUGUUUGAACCGCAUGGUUCAAACCUAAAAGGUGGCUUCGGCUACCACUUACGGAUGAACCCGCGGCGCAUUAGCUAAUUGGUGAGGUAAUGGCUCACCCAGGCCUGGAUGCAUAGCCGACCUGAGAGGGUGAUCGGCCACACUGGGACUGAACUCCUGCCCAAACUCCUACGGGAGGCAGCAGUAGGGAAUCUUCCGCAAUGGACGAAAGUCUGACCGAGCAACGCCGCGUGAGUGAUGAAGGUUUUCGGAUCGUAAAGCUCUGUUGUUAGGGAAGAACAAGUACCGUUCGAAUAGGGCGGUACC